CGCCCCUUGUGGAAAUCAGCCUAGGUUGACAAUGGUUAGCGUGUUUAAAUAAAAGUUUCUAUCUAUCUAUCUAUCUAUCUAAGAUUUUAAUUCCCCCUCCAUCAGGGUGAAGGGUUAGACGUGUUAGACGGGUUAGAAGCCUCAGUUUAGGAGGAAUUAUAGAGUAGAGGGUGGGUUAAAUGUGCACUUGGCGCCACAUGGCUGACUACCUCAAAACAUUACCAUUCACGGAUCGUACACCCAAAGAUCUUCAGAAUGAUCUUGUUGAGGUGGCACGUGAAAAUAUUGCCACGUUGUAUGGUAAUACCGCGCACUUGAUUGCGACGUCUUCAAUCAAUGAACUGCUUAAGCCACAUGUUACUCGUUGAAAUCCAUUGCAUGAUAUCAUCCUAUUCAAAACAAAGGCAAAUUGCGCUCCAGAUGCUGAGACUGUCUUUCGAUUAUACGAUGAAUGCGAAGGCGGAGUAUCGAUGAAAUGCCAACGCACUAUAAACUCUGGCGUCGAGAGUCUUAGGUUUGCACGCGGGGCAAUCGCUGAAGCUAGUCGUGUAUUUUUUACAUGCCCAAAAACGAAAUGGGGCAGCUGGUGGUGGAAAAAGACGAGAUUGGCUGCCUUUUGCUGAACGUCUAUGUGCAGAAAGAGGGCAAUGAAAACCUCCGUUUACUGCAGGAAAUCGUAGCUGAAGCGGGACAUACAUUACCAGUUUUGGGCGAAGGGCUGGAUGAAGCUAUAUCCCAUGGUGAAAGCAAAGCGUUUGGAAGUUGGUCUUUUCGAGUUGCCGAAUGAAACGAGAAAAUUUCCUUUCAGGCCUUGUGUGAGACGACAGCAAGUUUCAGCGCCAACAAAUAUCCAGCACACGACAGAAGGAAAUGUUAAAAUGUUCCGAGUUGGUGGCGACAACUUAGGCGUAGAAGCAAUAAACUUCUUAGAAUUUCGGAGGGUCUUUGAUGAGAGUCCCUUUGAGAACUUGUAACAACAACUGCGCCCACGGUUCCACUUUUAUGCAGUGUUACGUUUUGACCGUUCCCAUCUUUCCUUUAUGCUGCCAUUGCUG